GCUCACUGAGAGUGGAGAAUAUCUGCAUUACAAGAGGACAGAGGUUGUUCUGAAGGAGUGGAGUCUGGUGUGCGGCAGUCAUGGUUCCAGCUGCAUCUCAUCUACCACAAUCAACCUCUGCGUCAGAUCAUAGUCAAGACAACCCCACUACUAUUGGAACCUGACUCCUGCUACAGCUGCCAUCCACCGGACCAGACAACUGCCACUGGACCUCACCCCUAGCCGACCACUGGGUUACUCUGACGGAACCACUCCUUCCCGGAAUCCACCGGACCUGUUUGCCUCUCUGGAAACCUGGACUUGCUUAUCCCCUUUCCGGAAACCUGGACUUGUACUUAACCCUUGUGUUGAAUUCGGGUCAAAUUGACCUGUUUUCAAUUUUUGUUUUAUAUCAGAAAUUAUGGAACGUAGAAAUAAGCGCUGAAAAUGUGUAAAAGAAAAAUUGUACAUUUUAAAACGUUGGAAAAAGCCAAAAAAAAGUGUUCUUGUCAAGGUUGACGGAAGACAACACAGAGUUAAGUACUUUGAAAAAAAAAAAACUGUUAACUCACACUCUGGCUCUGCGUUUAUGUCUGCAUUUGGGUUGAUAGAUAGAUAGAUAGAUAGAUAGAUAGAUAGAUAGAUAGAUAGAUAGAUAGAUAGAUAGAUAUUUUACUCUAUGCUGCUAUUUGAAGAGACAGGCUCCAACAGAAUUUUGUUGUAUUGUCAACAGGGAUGGCAAGGCCACACUAAUAGCCACUAAAUGGCAAAAAGGUACUUUGCAACAACAGUUUGAGUUUCUCAGUUUAACGAGGUGCACCUGGUUUCGAUAGUCAAACUUGAAAGCUCAUUUUGAUCGAAUCAAAAUCGUGAAGCCCCUACUCAACCCUUUUCCUAUUCCUAU